ACUGCUCAAUAUAUGUUUUUAUGAUGGUAUCCGUCGUUAUCUUAGAUACCUGUGUUUUGGAUGAGGGAUAUGAAAAUGGGACCGAAAAAUACACUUUUUACUUGCCGGUAGUUAGUUUUGGUCAGUUUUACUUUAGGUUCCUAAUUGUACAUGAGCACUUGUAAGCGUCUGAUUGAAGAUGAAUGAAAUACCAAAAAGUGAAACUACGCCUGACAAUUAUUGAACAGUUGUUUUUGUAGAUAAGUAUUAGUGACCGAGUUGGAGAUACAGUUGCAGGUUGCGAUAGUGAAGUACAUAAUUCUGUUUGUUUUCUAAAGUGGUGCGGACUUGGAGAGAGCGGUGUUCUUGCAGUAGAAGAUGGUGUAGAUAGCUGACUGUAGCUGUGCUCGUUCUGAAGUUGUGAAGUGGUGAGAAGUCCUGUUGUAUGAUCUACAUUGCUUGUUGAAGAGGAGCUUUGGGUGUCGCUGCUUGGAGGUCGAAAGACAAUCAACGUCUGAGAGGGAAAUAUGUUGGUGCGCAAUUUAUACAACUUGUUUGAAUGUUGGCUUACAUCAACAACAGCAAGACUUUGCGAUCGACACUCUACUCUGUCAAAUGGAUAUUUAGCUGUGCUGUUUUUCAACAACUCUGCAUGGGCUACAAUAAGAGCUGGAUUGACUCUUACCUUCUUUGCUAAUCAUCCGGGGAUAUCGCCAUAUUGAAAACCCGUCAGAGGUUCGGUCCACGUCCAUGGUGCUCGGGAUGAGUCAUUGGAGGACGAAGAUCGGGUGUCCUUAUGCUGCCAUGAAAUGUCGUUUUUAUGAUGUCCAAUUAUGUUCAAAAAUAAACAACUUGGAGAA